UUGUUUACAUAUAUAUUUCUUGUUAUAGGCUAUGUUCUUGAUAGGGGAUAAACACUCCAAAGAAACUGCUGAAAAGGCUGCCCGUCAAAAAGAACUAGCAAAAGUAGUUAUUAAAAAAGAUGAUGUUGAAUUAAUUAUGAAAGAAAUGGAAAUAUCAAGAAAUAUUGCGGAAUUGAAACUAAGAGAGCAUCAUGGAGAUGUAGUAGAAGCAUUAAUUGAAUUAACUAAUUAAAUGUAUUUAUAAAUAAAUGUGCUUGUUUGCUUGAAAAA